rnacentral:rRNA from 1 species
AGAGUUUGAUCCUGGCUCAGGACGAACGCUGGCGGCGUGCUUAACACAUGCAAGUCACGGGGGCCCGCAAGGGUAACCGGCGAACGGGUGCGUAACACGUGAGCAAUCUGCCGUCCACUGGGGGAUAGCCGGCCCAACGGCCGGGUAAUACCGCAUACGCUUGCCGGGUGGCAUCACCUGGCAAGGAAACCUCCGGGGGUGGACGAGGAGCUCGCGGCCUAUCAGCUAGUUGGUGGGGUCACGGCCCACCAAGGCGAUGACGGGUAGCUGGUCUGAGAGGAUGGCCAGCCACAUUGGGACUGAGAUACGGCCCAGACUCCUACGGGAGGCAGCAGUGGGGAAUAUUGCGCAAUGGCCGCAAGGCUGACGCAGCGACGCCGCGUGGGGGAUGAAGCAUUUCGGUGUGUAAACCCCUGUUGCCCGGGACGAACCUCCCCUUUCGAGGGGACUGACGGUACCGGGUGAGGAAGCACCGGCUAACUCCGUGCCAGCAGCCGCGGUAAUACGGAGGGUGCGAGCGUUGUCCGGAAUCACUGGGCGUAAAGGGCGCGUAGGCGGUGACUUAAGCGUGUGGUGAAAGCCCGGGGCUCAACCCCGGGUCGGCCGUGCGAACUGGGUCACUCGAGCACUGUAGAGGCAGGUGGAAUUCCGGGUGUAGCGGUGGAAUGCGUAGAGAUCCGGAAGAACACCAGUGGCGAAAGCGGCCUGCUGGGCAGUAGCUGACGCUGAGGCGCGACAGCGUGGGGAGCAAACAGGAUUAGAUACCCUGGUAGUCCACGCCGUAAACGAUGGGCACUAGG